UCACAUUGUGACAACCUGCUUGUUGCUGGAUAGAUUUUUCUCUCACGGAUCCUUUAAAUAUAAGCCAAAUAAUAAAUAAUACAUCCACUUCUGUGCUCCUGCCCUGCCGACGUGUCACCUGAAGCUGAUGACGUCACAGAUACAAAAUCUCCCUGAAAGCAACAAAAGAAAACCUGUUCCUGCUUCUGCUGUGUGCCAGAUUUCCAUCUCCUGAUCUCUCUUGCUGUGGGGCAAUUUGUGUUGAAGCCUGCCUACUUGGGAGGAAACAAGGACAUU